rnacentral:rRNA from 1 species
UACAGAGGUCCCAAGCGUUGUUCGGAUUCAUUGGGCGUAAAGGGUGCGUAGGCGGCGCGGUAAGUCGGGUGUGAAAUCUCGGAGCUUAACUCCGAAACUGCAUUCGAUACUGCCGUGCUUGAGGACUGGAGAGGAGACUGGAAUUUACGGUGUAGCGGUGAAAUGCGUAGAUAUCGUAAGGAAGACCAGUGGCGAAGGCGGGUCUCGUGGACAGUUCCUGACACUGAGACACGAAGGCCAGGGGAGCAAACGGG